rnacentral:rRNA from 1 species
GUGGGGAAUUUUUGGCAAUGGGGGAAACCCUGACCAAGCAACGCCGCGUGGGUGAUGAAGUAUCUCGGUACGUAAAACCCUUUCGACGGGGAAGAAAACCGCAAGGUUUGACGGUACCCGUAGAAGAAGCCCCGGCUAACUCCGUGCCAGCAGCCGCGGUAAUACGGGGGGGGCAAGCGUUGUUCGGAAUUACUGGGCGUAAAGGGUGCGUAGGCGGUUCGCUAAGUUGGAUGUGAAAACUCUGGGCUCAACCCAGAGCCUGCAUCCAAUACUGACGAGCUAGAGUUCUGGAGGGGAUAGCGGAAUUCCUGGUGUAGCGGUGAAAUGCGUAGAUAUCAGGAGGAACACCGGUGGCGAAGGCGGCUAUCUGGACAGAGUCUGACGCUGAGGCACGAAAGCUAGGGGAGCAAACAGGAUUAGAAACCCGGGUAGUCC